CAACCCCCGUGGAGGUUUUUACGUCCUAAAAAAAAAAAAAAAAAAAGCCCAGAGCAGAUUAUUCGGUAAAGACUGCAAAGGCGGAGGCAGAGGGGAGAAAAGAGGUCCCGAAAGCCGGGAUAAGCUUCGGCAUUAGAGCUUUGGCCUGCUCAGCAGGCAGAUUCCAAAGCAGGGAUGCGAGUCCCAGCAACAGGCCAGCCAUUGGCACGGAGGCAAAAUGCUGGCUCGUGAUUGGCUCUUGCUGCAUGCAGGAUGGAAGUAGAUCUCCUGGAAGGGUGGGGCGGGGCUGAGCCGCGGCCCUGCCUAGCUCACAUCCGGGUACCUGGGCAUCCCGAAAUGGCCAGAGGUUGGGGAGUGGUCACUCUACGAUGCCUGGCAGCACAAUCCUUCGUCUGAAGUCCAGGUGUUUGUGGGGGGAGAGGGGGUACUCAAGACACCCAGAAAUGGAGAUCUCAGAUUGGGUGGGCUGGAGGUUGCUACUGCCAUCUGGGUCUGGGCGUAACCUGGAGGCUCCCUGAAGCGGAUUCCCGCACUUAACAGGGACAGCUGCAGGACCCACAGUGUGCGCCAGGAGGAGACAGAGGACGACGGUGCUGGAGUCCCCGAGGGUUAUGGGGAACAGAUCCCAGACUUGGGCCAGGAACACUCCUGAAUCCCAGCACCCACCAACUCCAGGGCCCUGCAUUCAGCCUCAUUCCGUUUUGUAACAAGGCUCUCCGUGUGUUGGCCGCCCAGGCUGGCUUUGAACUUGAGACCCUACGUCAUCAUCCAGGAUGCUAUGCGCCUCUUGGUCAUUAUAUUCUAAAGAAGCUAGAGGUAGAGGUACCAGCCGGUAUUCGCGGCGCUCAGGCGGUUGCCCAAGCAGGAUGGUCUUCAUUUGAAACAGCCUGAGUGACAGAGACUAGACUCCAUCUCAAAAGAUAAAACCCAGAUCCCUACCCUCGGGACCGAGCACAUGCCGCUGGGCCUCAACUCAGGCCCAUCCAUCCCCUUAAACACUUAUGAUACGGAAACGUCGACAGAACCAUCAAAAGGGAGAUGUGCACCCGAGUCCAGAGGACCCAGCUACUACGUAAGGGACCCUCGAGGUGACUGGAAUACCGCUUUUGUUUUUCUUAAGUGCUAGGACUGAACCUGGCCUUGAGCAUGCUAGGCCAAUGCUCUAUCCACUAAACUACAUGUAUCCCCACUUCUUAUGUGUGUUUUUAUUUUCCCCCAGAAGUCUGGGAACUUGCUAGCCUCAACCUCACAGAGCUCUCCCCCAGCCUCUCCAUGCCAGGUGCUGGGACUAAAGGCGUGUGCCACUACAUUUGGUCCACUUCUUGGGUUCUUGAGACAAGGGUCUCACUCUGUAAUACAGGCUGACCCUGAAUUUAUGAUCCUCCUGCCUCAGACUCCCACGUACUGGGAUCACAAGUGUCACCCACCACACUCAACUUGCUCUGUGUGUGUGUGUGGUGCUGAGACAAGCAAGCGCUCUACCCCCAGCUACACCCCCGCCCUUGAUAUCUAUGUACUGUCACAGCCCCCACGGCACCACCCAGCCUCAUUGCUGAGUGGGGGUGGAGGACGCCCACUUCCAAUCAAACCUUUAAAAACAAAGCAGUUAAACCCUAUUAAAUGAAGCUAGGUAGCGCUGACAUCAGAUCUGUACGUUUAUUUUGCUCAAUGUACGACGGCUACAUAAUGACUCACAUUCAUGAAUAUUCCAUCACUGAGGAAAACUGCUAACAAUGGUCCGUGUGCGAAAUAAUUCCUUAGCGAAACACGGAGUUGGGGGGAAAAAAAAUCACUUGAUUGGACCUUAAAAAUAGCUCACUGCAUAACAUGACGAGGAAGCACAGAGGCGCAUUCAGAGAACGUCCGCGGCGUUCUCCUACACUGUUAUAGUUAUUAAUUUCACCGUGACAAACACCAGACAUUAAGAGUAAGCUAACACUGGUGUUUCUUUUGUCCCCUCCCCCCUGAAAAACAAAAUAUAGAACUGCAUGUCACUAUAGCAACAUCCAAAACAGAUCAAUUUGUUACAAUCACUAUUUGGUAAAGCAAACUUUACCCCUGAAAGGAAAAAAAAAAAUUAAAUUAAAAAAAAAAAGUUUAAAAAAUUUUGAAGUCUUAGUUUUUUUUGUUUUUUUGUUUUUGUCAUAGGGAUACAUAACACCUACAGUAUAAGUUAAUAAAUGUCAAGCUACCGUAUAGAAAUACAACACCAGCAUGCACAAUACUGUAUCAAUAGGAUGGAGGAGCAACCGUGGUACUGGAGGCAGCGUCCUAGGCAGGUGCGCUUCUCACCAGGAAAGGAAAGGAGAAGAAACCAUCCAAGCUCACACAUCAGCUCUCCCCUCUUCAGUUCUACCCUCUUACAUGAUUUUUCUAGAACACAGCCAGGGUCAAGGCUGAAAUUUAAAGAGAGACUAGGUUUUGCAAUUCCAGUAGGUCAUUUCCGAACAGUACAAGCGGGACAAGGACAUGCUUACUGCGGACACAGAGACAAGCUAAGCGAAGCCCCACCGUCCCCUUUGGCCAUGGCUCUGGCGGCCAAGCUUCCUCUGCUCGCCAGAGCGGUUCUUUCGUGGGCCUCGGUUAGUGGGUCCUUACACACUAGCAAGAGGGGCCUCUGAAGAAAGGCAUGCUGGGACUGUGUAGAGGGCAGUCAUUCUACAGCCAUACUACCAGCAUCCUGUCAGGAGGACUCACUUAAGUGGGAGCUUGGUUUUGGUGAGAGAAGGUGGCUGGCUAGGUCUUUGAACACGAGGAAAGCAAGUUUGGGGCGUGACCCAUCUUGGGAAUCCACCCGACCAUGGAUCCUCUAGAAGACAGAAACUGUACACUCCGCAUGCAACAAGGCAUGCUUAUGGAUAGAUUUAUCCAGUGAGAACGAGGGACCUAGGGCUAAGUGAGACGGACCAUGUGGGACAUAGCAGCACAGCUUCCUUCAGCGUCACGUGUAGUGACCUCAGAGAGAAGCCAAUCUCCAGCAUCUACGCUUUCAUUCAGAAGGAAAGAACAGGAACGCUUGGGCCAAACGGGCGGUGGGCACUGCCUCCUGCCAAACAUCAGUUACCCUCUCGAAGCACUUGGGAAAGGAGCUGGGCCGUGGACGGGUGACAGGGACAGCUGACUUGGGACCAGGCUCCCACACUGGACAGGCUUGAGGGGAGCUGCCUCCUCCUAGUGGGUUGCUGUUGGCUCAGCUGCUCACACCCGAUGCUCCACUUUCUCGACGACCACCCACCUCUACAAUCCAAUUCAAUGGCCUCCAGACACCUGCACGCUGCCAGCACGAGGUACUGGGGAGACUCAGCUGAGAAAUAUUCCACCGGCAGUGACUGAGGAGGGAGCCCCGGCUGCUGGGGAGCAGGAGGCUCUGAAAAUACCAACAUGAGAAACGACAUACAGACCUGAAUUUUCUCCGUUUUCUGUGUGUGUGGUGCUUAACAGUUUCUAUUUUUGUGAUGGGCUUAAAGAGUAAAGAAGAACUUAAAAAAAAAAAAAAAAGAA